ACACUCCUGCGGGAGGCAGCAGUGGGGAAUAUUGCACAAUGGGCGCAAGCCUGAUGCAGCCAUGCCGCGUGUAUGAAGAAGGCCUUCGGGUUGUAAAGUACUUUCAGCGGGGAGGAAGGCGAUAAGGUUAAUAACCUUGUCGAUUGACGUUACCCGCAGAAGAAGCACCGGCUAACUCCGUGCCAGCAGCCGCGGUAAUACGGAGGGUGCAAGCGUUAAUCGGAAUUACUGGGCGUAAAGCGCACGCAGGCGGUCUGUCAAGUCGGAUGUGAAAUCCCCAGGCUCAACCUGGGAACUGCAUUCGAAACUGGCAGGCUAGAGUCUUGUAGAGGGGGGUAGAAUUCCAGGUGUAGCGGUGAAAUGCGUAGAGAUCUGGAGGAAUACCGGUGGCGAAGGCGGCCCCCUGGACAAAGACUGACGCUCAGGUGCGAAAGCGUGGGGAGCAAACAGGAUUAGAAACCCGGGUAGUCCCA
rnacentral:rRNA from 1 species